rnacentral:lncRNA from 1 species
GUGGAAUUAAAAUUAACUAAUAAAGAUAACGUAAUCAUGAAAUACGAAUUUAAAUUAAGAAAUACGUAAUAAAUGGUGAAAUUUCAAGGAUGGAAUUUCACACUUUACCACGGCCAAAGCGUGUUGUCAAUACAGACUUAGCCCAUAGUAGAUUUGAAUCUAACCCCACAUGCUAAAACCGGGGUGGACCAUUAAUUAACCACGGCUAAUGUCCAUUAUAAAAAGUUUUCCAAAAGUUUCAAAAAAUAUAUCUAUUUAAUUAAAAACAAUAUAUAAAUUGACAAUAUAUAUAUAAACCCACAAAAUUGCAAAUUUACUAUAAUACAAUAAAAUUUUAAAUGAUCACAUGUUCAAAAAGAAUUACAAGCAUUACACUAAACUACAACAAAAUCACAUAUAAAACCAAUGAGAUGUCCUAAGAAAUAUGAAACUAUCUAUCAAUUAUGAAAUACGCCUCCAUUUACAAGGAAAUUGUCACUUAGAACCUUGAACACCUCCAAACAAAUUCC